GAAAUUUCAGAAUUUUGACACGGCCUAUACCCCUAAUAGAUACCAAUGCACCAAUCUCCAAUUGCUCAACUUUUUCAAUUGCAACCAAGCAACCGUAUCUGGCAGCAAAAGAUGCUUCUCCAGAUGUAUCAUUGAUGGCUAUAGGAUCUAGAACGAAGUGCACAAAGAACUUCUUCUUCUUAAAAAGAGACUCCUCUAAGAGUGCCAAGUAUCUUGCUU
rnacentral:misc_RNA from 1 species